GUAACAUGUACUAGUUCUAUUAUCCCCCAAAUUAACCAUCAAACUAGAUACGAGACGAUUCCAAAAACGGAACCCUCCUCCAAAACUAGUUUCUUCUCAACUAAUGAACUCAAUGAAUAGCCGGCCAACCAUAAUCUUGCCCAUUCCACUGCGCUUGACAAGUGUGACUACAAUGUGGUCGUCCCCCUCGGCCUCUAGGUCUUUCAAUAAAUCAGUAAUCCCCAGUCUCAAAACUGUCUUGCUCAUCACUCCAUGCCGAUGUGGCAGACUUACAAAACUCCCCGCAAACUCGCUUGCUGCCGGCGUCAUUCCCUCCAUCCCAGCCGGUGCGUUGACAUACACAUCAAACUUCACGUACA
rnacentral:misc_RNA from 1 species